AAUUGAUCUGGUCAGGACGAACGCUGGCGGCGUGCUUAACACAUGCAAGUCGAACGAGGAUAUGUGGAGGGGCUUCGGCCUGGAAGAUGUAAUUCGAGUGGCGGACGGGUGAGUAACGCGUGAACAAUCUGUCCCGGACAGGGGAAUAACACUUGGAAACAGGUGCUAAUACCGCAUAAGACCACGCCCUCGCAUGGGGGAGGGGUAAAAGGAGCAAUCCGGUUCGGGGUGAGUUCGCGUCCGAUUAGAUAGUUGGUGAGGUAACGGCCCACCAAGUCGACGAUCGGUAGCCGACCUGAGAGGGUGAUCGGCCACAUUGGAACUGAGAGACGGUCCAAACUCCUACGGGAGGCAGCAGUGGGGAAUAUUGGGCAAUGGGCGAAAAAGCCUGACCCAGCAACGCCGCGUGAGUGAAGAAGGCUUUCGGGUUGUAAAGCUCUGUUAUAGGGGACGAAGGAAGUGACGGUACCCUAUAAGGAAGCCCCGGCUAACUACGUGCCAGCCGCCGC
rnacentral:rRNA from 1 species